UACGUAGGGUGCGAGCGUUAAUCGGAAUUACUGGGCGUAAAGCGUGCGCAGGCGGUUUUGUAAGACAGAUGUGAAAUCCCCGGGCUUAACCUGGGAAUGGCAUUUGGGACUGCAAGGCUGGAGUGUGGCAGAGGAGACUGGAAUUCCUGGUGUAGCAGUGAAAUGCGUAGAUAUCAGGAGGAAUACCGAUGGCGAAGGCAGGUCUCUGGGCUGACACUGACGCUCAUGCACGAAAGCGUGGGGAGCAAACAGG
rnacentral:rRNA from 1 species